GACGAACGCUGGCGGCGUGCCUAAUACAUGCAAGUCGAGCGCAGGAAACUGACGGAACUCUUCGGAGGGAAGGCAGCGGAAUGAGCGGCGGACGGGUGAGUAACACGUAAGGAACCUGCCUCAAGGAUUGGGAUAACUCCGAGAAAUCGGAGCUAAUACCGGAUAGUUCAUCGGACCGCAUGGUCCGUUGAUGAAAGGCGCUCCGGCGUCACCUUGAGAUGGCCUUGCGGUGCAUUAGCUAGUUGGUGGGGUAACGGCCCACCAAGGCGACGAUGCAUAGCCGACCUGAGAGGGUGAUCGGCCACACUGGGACUGAGACACGGCCCAGACUACUACGGGAGGCAGCAGUAGGGAAUCUUCCACAAUGGACGAAAGUCUGAUGGAGCAACGCCGCGUGAGUGAUGAAGGUUUUCGGAUCGUAAAACUCUGUUGUAAGGGAAGAACACGUACGAGAGGGAAUGCUCGUACCUUGACGGUACCUUACGAGAAAGCCACGGCUAACUACGUGCCAGCCGCCGCGGUAA
rnacentral:rRNA from 1 species